AGCGAACGCUGGCGGCAGGCUUAACACAUGCAAGUCGAGCGGGCACUCCGGUGUCAGCGGCAGACGGGUGAGGAACACGUGGGAACGUACCCUUUGGUUCGGAAUAACGCUGGGAAACUAGCGCUAAUACCGGAUACGCCCUUUUGGGGAAAGGCUUGCUGCCGAAGGAUCGGCCCGCGUCUGAUUAGCUAGUUGGUGGGGUAAUGGCCUACCAAGGCGACGAUCAGUAGCUGGUCUGAGAGGAGGAUCAGCCACACUGGGACUGGGACACGGCCCAGACUCCUACCAGAGGCAGCAGUGGGAAUAUAGGACAAUGGGCGCAAGGCUGAUCCAGCCAUGCCGGGUGAGUGAUGAAGGCCUUAGGGUUGUAAAGCUCUUUUGUCCGGGACGAUAAUGACGGUACCGGAAGAAUAAGCCCCGGCUAACUUCGUG
rnacentral:rRNA from 1 species